CAUCAUCUCAUCGUAAGAAGGU
rnacentral:miRNA from 1 species